CUUGCAAAAAAAGAAGCUCUUUCUGGUGCGGGAAGUUCAAAGAGGAGAAAAGCAAGAGCUAAGAAGAAUAAAGCAAUGAAGUCUAUAAAAGUGAAAGAGGAAAUAAAGAGUGAUUCUUCUCCUCUGCCUUCAGAGAAGUCUGAUGAAGAUGAUGAUAAAGUAAGAAUGUGUUUUAGAACAACAACCUUUUCUAUGGAAAGGGAAUAUGGCAUGUUUUUGUGUACUUUACAUUUAAAAUUUAUAUUUUAGGUACCGAAGUCUGUGUGUGUGUGUGUGUGUGUGUGUGUGUGCGCGCGCACGUGCGCACGCACUUAUAGUUCAUAACAGUCUCAAUUAUAGAACAGAAUUCUAACUGUCCAGUAGAUAUUAUAUAGCACUAGAGGCAUAGAGCAAAGGUCCUUCCUUUUCAAACAUUUGCCAAUUUGAUGAGCUUC
rnacentral:lncRNA from 1 species